GGCAUGGUGGCUCAGUGGUUAGAGCGCCCGCCUCAGGAACGGGAGGUCGUGGGUUCAAACCCCGGCCGAGUCA
rnacentral:tRNA from 1 species